UGGGAAGUAAUUCAAUUUGGUAGAAGCCUUGAUUUGGAUUCAAGAGGUUGCAGGUUCGAAUCCUGUCUUCCCAACCA
rnacentral:tRNA from 1 species